rnacentral:sRNA from 1 species
UUGGGGAGAAGAUUGCGGGUUGCCGUGGGUGUGGGCCCUGGGGUUCCUCUCCUGGGACCCACCGUGGCUAUCUCCUUCCGUCCUCCCACCCCCCCGCCACAAACUUUCCCAGGUUUGUUUCGGGGGUAAGCGUGGGAGGGGUCACCUCCAAGUUUCCUUUACUGACUUUGGGACGAUCACCGUCUCAGCACCCGGCGUCUCGCCCCCUUGGGCUCCUGGCCGCGCCCCCCACCCACGGCGUCGGAGGUUUCUAAGGCGGGAACGGGGGAGGGAGAAGAAACUCCGGCUCCCCUACCCAUCCCCCGCCGGGGUGCGCCCAGGACUGGGGAGGUUGCCCCAGAUGCUCCUGGCUUAGGGGCAGUUGUGGACGAAAGGGAUUGAUUAUUGAUUGGGUGAUUGGGGUCGCAGAGGUUCCGGGCAGACUUGGCCGAUGUGCCCCGUGAAGGAGGCGGCUGGAAGGCUGUGGUGGCGACCGGGCGACGUGGGCUCACUUACUCUGGUGACCAGGAGACCAAGAUCUCACCCUACCGGUAAGAUCAAAAGUCUCCGCUCGCCCCCGGCCGGCUGGCUUGGGCUGGGUCCAGACGCCUCCCUGAAUGCAGAUGUGUAGCUGCUGUCCUCCCGGGCUAUAAAGCCGGCUCCAGUGCCCAGGCGCUCGGGAGUUGAAUUAACCCGGCGUGGAUCCCGGGCGGAGCCGAGAGCCAGAGGCAGGUUGCGGCUGAGCUCCAGUGCUGCAUGUGUGUGUCGCGUACUCGUGGGUGGGUGCGCCUGGGGUGCUUGGUGCCUGCGGCCGCAGAGGCCGAAACGGCGUCUCGUCCAGGCCGGGGAGACGCGGGCUCCGGCGCUUAAAGCUUCUUUCCAGCGAGGAAUCGGUGAGUCGGUUGGCCUCGCCGUUGGCCUCACAGUUCAGGUGACCACGGCACCCCUCUGACCUGGAGGAGGGUCGUUGUCCCUGGAGGCCAGACCCAGAAGGUCCGGGGCUCACAUUCAAAGCGCGGAGAGCGCAUUUAGGCACGCCGGCGGCGGCGACGUGCUCACAGCCUUGGGCACCGCGCACGGGGAGUUCGCCCAAAGGAUGCUUCCCUCUCCCUUUGCUUCCUUUUGGUGCUCUCUCAACCUUCGUUCCCUCGCUACCCACCUCCACCCCUCAUACCCUCGUGCAGUGGCUCAAGCACCGGUCCCCUAUCGCCUGUCGGCACCCCUGCUCACCAGUGCCUAGCCCUCCCUGCUCAGGCGCCGCGCACUGUGUGAUCCGCCCUAACAUCUGUCCGUCCAACCAUUGGCGCAUCCAUCAGUGUCAAUGGGCUGCACAUUGCAGCGACAGCCUGUCACGCACAACACGGGCUGUACGGAGUGCACACUGCGACCACACUUCCUUGCCCGGUGGGGCACUCAAACAGACUCGGCCGUUUUGGCACUGCCUGGAUUCCUAUUUCCGCUGAGUUCUUUUAGCUACAUGCACCCAUUCACCCUUAAUUUGGGGGACCACAACAUGUGCACAGCUUUUCAGGUCGUUGUACGGAUGGAACAUUGGAACAUCGAAAGUGGGCAAGGUCAACCUACUCCUUAUAUUUCACUAGGAUUUAUCUUCCCUUCUGCUGUAAGGCUGGGUGUAACUAAAAGAAAAGGGUUCCCCAGAUUCUCACCCAACACAAAGUCGACCCUGAAUGCGGGACCUUAACUCCCUCAACCUGUGCUAGGUGCUGGGUUGUGGAGUCUGCCCCUUUGCAUCUAGCAAGAUUUCAACAGCAACAAAAACUUUGUAUAGCCAGGGCUGACUGCUGCUUCCCAGGGCCUGACCUGGAGAAAUGCCGACUAAUGGACUCUCAGUGAGAGCAAAGGACUCUGUUUAGGAAGAAAUGGCGUCUAGUAGUAGUAACUCUGAAAUCCACGUGUCAUUACAGAAAAAAAAAAAAAAGGGCAGGGCCAUAUGUUUGAGAAACCAGAGCUUGCAGAUAGUUCGCGGCUGCGGAGGCUGCAGUUACGAGUUUUUCCUAUUGUACUUCUUGGCUUCCGGCUCCUUCUGGAUCUACUCAGAUGGUAAACACAUAAGCACAGGUGUUCCGGACGAGUCUGUCCCUCCCAGAGGCCUUUCUCCAAGAACCUCGGGGGAAGGGUAUGUUCGGAAGGGGGUCCUACUCCUCUGACAUCUGAAUGAAGACUACCUAACAUUUGACCUGAUUUUAUUAUUGUAAAUGUUUUCUGUCGACUCUCCCGGCGGCAAGCAACUCUUUCUGCAGUUCAUAUCGCCGUUAGGGGAUUCGGAAGGGAGUAGAGCCCUGUUCAGGCAAGCGCUAAGGGUUGCUAGGUACUGGGAAAGGCCAGAGAAGGGUUACUCAGGAAAGUAACCCGUGCUGUAGGAUGUCAGCUCCCCACACCGCAUCCAGUGGUCCAGCUGUUUUCACACUCUACUAGAGGGCGGGAAAGCCUGAGCAUGGUAGAGGAUGUAGGAUUCUGUGAAGGAUAUACUGUAUAGAAACUGUUCACUCGACGCGGUUAUCUUUUAAAAGCAAAAAGGGGCUUUCAGCGUCUGUGCAAAUACCUAGGAACUUCUAGUCCACUUUGAAUUGUGCCCGGUAGUAAAUGUACUAGGUUAAAUAAGUCUACCUUUGGGAGGUGAGGCGUUUCUGAGAAUAAUUUUUUAAGCCCCUAAAAAUAGAAGGAGGAAGGAAGGAGCUGAAUAAAGAGAAACACCUAAGCGCCCAGUGCCAAAAGCCCAUGGGGGAAACUGGGAGCUGGCAUCUCGGUCAGGAGACUCACCUUGAAAUUAGGUGGUCAGACUAUGACCCCUUCACAUUCCCAGGAACUAAGCUGGCAAUCUUGACCACCCUGAGACUACAUCUAAGACUCAGUGAGUAAUCCGAUACCUCCUGAUGAGUCUCCAGAAGACUCCCAGAGAGAGUUAUCUAGGUCAAGGGUUGCACACCCUACCCAGCGUUUCCAAUCUCGAGCCUUAGAUUUCCAUCCCUGGAACCUUUUAUCCUAAGUUUCAUCCACCUUGGCUACUUGAGCCCCUGGAGGGUGGGGUAUAUCAAUUAGAGAUGUGGCUCAAAACAAUGUUCUGAGGAGCAAGGAGCCUACCCCCAGCCCAGUAUGAUGUGGACAGUUAUAUAAUGGGAAGUUGUGGCUUGUCUAAUACCUGGAGCCCAGUUUGUGUUCUAGGUGGCCGCUGAGGGUAGUUAAAUGACAGCCCUGCUGGUCCUAGGAAGGCUGGAGUGUGUCUCAAGUUGAGUGCCCACCAAAAAGAAAAGGAUAUCCUGAAUGUCAUCAUUCCAGGACAAGGAGCUAGGGCUGGCUGGUGUUUCCCAGUCACGUGGGCCUAAGCUCUGACCUCAGAUGGGGGUACAUGCUGAGUACUCCUCGGAAAUAUCAUCUUGAAGGACAAGGACUCCGGGAACCUUUGGUGAUGAUGGCAUGGGCCUUUGGCAACAAUCCAGGGGUGGGCCCUGGCAAGGGCUCCCAGCACUAAUUCAUCUCCAGCCUGAAAUGGUCGGGAAGUCUGGUGGACCUGCCUUUUUUUUUUUUUUCUCCUCACUUUUCUGGUUUAGGCACUGAUAGAAAAAUGCCAUGGGUCCCAAGACUCCUACUGCUCACUGUUGGCCUCGGCCUGGCACUGGGCUCAGUCCCUAACAAAGCUGGAGGUUAGGAUGACCUGAGUCAGGCUUUAGCCUGUUUGCUGAAGGUGCUUUCUCACAGCAGCGAAGUUUGUUUCUCUUUUCCCUGGUAGCUUUGUUUUAAGAAACCAGAUGUCUUGUUUGUAAAUUCUCCCUAAGAACGUUUACAGUCUGGACUCGAAAUAAACCUUUGAAAAUCA